UACGGGGGGAGCAAGCGUUGUUCGGGUUUACUGGGCGUAAAGGGCGCGUAGGCGGCGCAACAAGUCACUUGUGAAAUCUCCGGGCUUAACUCGGAACGGUCAAGUGAUACUGUCGGGCUAGAGUACAGAAGGGGCAACUGGAAUUCUCGGUGUAGCGGUGAAAUGCGUAGAUAUCGGGAGGAACACCAGUGGCGAAGGCGGCGAUCUGGGAAGAUACUGACGCUGAGGUGCGAAAGCGUGGGGAGCAAACAGG
rnacentral:rRNA from 1 species